AUUGAACGCUGGCGGCAUGCCUUACACAUGCAAGUCGAACGGUAACAGGUCUUCGGAUGCUGACGAGUGGCGAACGGGUGAGUAAUACAUCGGAACGUGCCUAGUAGUGGGAUAACUACUCGAAAGAGUGGCUAAUACCGCAUGAGAUCUACGGAUGAAAGCAGGGGAUCGCAAGACCUUGUGCUACUAGAGCGGCCGAUGGCAGAUUAGGUAGUUGGUGGGAUAAAAGCUUACCAAGCCGACGAUCUGUAGCUGGUCUGAGAGGACGAUCAGCCACACUGGGACUGAGAAACGGCCCAGACUCCUACGGGAGGCAGCAGUGGGGAAUUUUGGACAAUGGGCGCAAGCCUGAUCCAGCAAUGCCGCGUGCAGGAUGAAGGCCUUCGGGUUGUAAACUGCUUUUGUACGGAACGAAAAGCCCCGGGCUAAUACCCUGGGGUCAUGACGGUACCGUAAGAAUAAGCACCGGCUAACUACGUGCCAGCCGCCGCAGUAA
rnacentral:rRNA from 1 species